UCGAGACAUUAAAAAUGACGAAUUUUUAAGGUGGUGUGUUAUUUCUUGGAGAAGUGUAGUAAGAAUUUUGUGUGUUUGUUUUGAUAAGUGUCUACAAUUUGAUUCGCUAUAUACAGUUUUAAUAAACUUAUUAUUGGUAUGUGUUGUGUUUGAAGAAUUCCAAAACAACUUAACGGUCAUUGUAAAGAGCUCGUUUCUUCUUUGUUAGGUUAUUUUGAACGAGAACGAAAUAAUGAGAGAUACCUUUUGCCCUUAACUGCUGUAAGAGAUCGUGUUGCAACAACCUUAAACCCAAGUGUAUCUACUGUAUAAAACAAAUGGGAAACAAAUUCACCAAGGCUUGGAGUUCUUUAACGUCCUAAUGUUGCAGUAAAGAGAACUUUAUUUUUAAGAAAUUAUGUUUGAAGAAAGUAUCUUUGUAUUUGUUUUCAUCGAAAAAACACGGAUCUUCCAAAAAAUGAAACAAAAAGUAAUUCAUGGCAAAAUGAAGACAAAAGAAGUAUCAGAGCUCCAAAAACAGUGUUAAAGGAUAUAUUAUAAUCAAUGCUGGUAGCGAGGAUGGAUUUGUUCACAGUGCAUGAACGAUAUUUUUUUUUAAACCAAACUAUGUGAUUACCAGGGAGAAAUGAAUAAAGAUGACUUUUUACAGUGGCUUGAAGGGCAGUUAUUAAUGAGCCUUGUACAACCUUUGAUAAUGAUUAUGGGCUGUGCUUCAUACCAUAGCAUGUUGCUACAUAAUAAGCCAAAUUCAAGUAUACCUAUGGCUCAAAUACAAGAAUGGUUGACUAAGAAAAA
rnacentral:lncRNA from 1 species